GUGAGGAAUUUUCCGCAAUGGGCGAAAGCCUGACGGAGCAAUGCCGCGUGAAGGAUGAAGGCCUAUGGGUUGUAAACUUCUUUUCUCAGAAAAGAAUUAUGACGGUAUCUGAGGAAUAAGCAUCGGCUAACUCUGUGCCAGCAGCCGCGGUAAGACAGAGGAUGCAAGCGUUAUCCGGAAUGAUUGGGCGUAAAGCGGCUGUAGGUUGUUUAAAAAGUAUUCUGUCAAAGAUUAGGGCUUAACCCUAGAUAGGCAGAAUAAACUUUUAAGCUAGAGUUUGGUAGAGGCAGAGGGAAUUCCCGAUGGAGCGGUGAAAUGCGUAGAUAUCGGGAGGAACACCAAAGGCGAAGGCACUCUGCUGGGCCAAUACUAACACUGAGAGACGAAAGCGAGGGGAGCAAAUGGGAUUAGAAACCCGUGUAGUCC
rnacentral:rRNA from 1 species